rnacentral:rRNA from 1 species
CAAUAGCGUAUAUUAAAGUUGUUGCAGUUAAAAAGCUCGUAGUUGGAUUUCUGGUUGAAGCGACCGGUCGGGCGUUGAUUCGUCUGCACUGGAGUCGGUUUUGGCCAUCCUCUAGGAAAGUGCGUCUGGUAUUAAGUUAUCGGGCGUAUGAUCCUGGUCUUUUACUGUGAAAAAAUUAGAGUGUUUAAAGCAGGCCUUCGCCUUGAAUACAUUAGCAUGGAAUAAUAAGAUAGGACUUUGGUCUAUUUUGUUGGUUUGCAGACCGAAGUAAUGAUUAAUAGGGAUAGUUGGGGGUAUUUAUAUUCCGAUGUCAGAGGUGAAAUUCUUAGAUUUUCGGAAGAUAAACUUAUGCGAAAGCAUUUACCAAGGAUGUUUUNAUUAA